CAAUAGCGUAUAUUAAAGUUGUUGCAGUUAAAAAGCUCGUAGUUGGAUUUCUGGUCGGAAGCUCCUGUCCUCUGAUGAGCGUACAAGUGCGUCCUACCAUCCUUCUGUUAACCUUUAAGGCUUUCGCGGCUUUCUAGGGGCUCAGAUAUUUUACCUUGAGAAAAUUAGAGUGUUUCAGGCAGGCUAGCGCCGGAAUACAUUAGCAUGGAAUAAUGGAAUAGGACUUUUGCCUCUUCUGUUGGUCAUGAGGCUCGAGUAAUGAUUAAUAGGGAUAGUUGGGGGCAUUAGUAUUUAAUUGUCAGAGGUGGAAUUCUCAGAUUUGUUAAAGACUAACUUAUGCGAAAGCAUUUGCCAAGGAUGUUUUCAUUAA
rnacentral:rRNA from 1 species